rnacentral:lncRNA from 1 species
UAAUACUAGCACAUUUUAUUCACCAUAGCAACAUUUCAACACAACCAAGACUUAACACAAAGACUCAAUACUCAAGAGCAAUACAAAGGAUAGUGAUAAGAAAACACAGACUCUCUAUUUGUCAGACAUUUUGGACCAAAAUCAACCAGAAAUCUGAAUUGACUUAGCACAAAGACUCAACACUCAAGACCAAUUACAAAGGACACUAAUAACAAAAAACAUAGACUCUCUAAUUUUCAGACAUUUUGGAACAAAAUCAACCAGAAAUCUGGAUGGACUUGACAUCAUGCUUCUUAACAACCUGCUCCUUAGGCACGGUCACAGUCAGAACCCCAUUCUCCAUCCCAGCCUUGACCUGAUCCACCUUUGCAUUCUCCGGAAGCCUGAACC